CGCACGAGCGCACCCUUAUCCUUAGUUGCCAGCACGUAAUGGUGGGAACUCUNCCGNNACUGCCGGUGACAAACCGGAGGAAGGUGGGGACGACGCUCNAGUCAUCAUGGCCCUUACGAGAUGGGCUACACACGUGCUACAAUGGCAAGUACAAAGGGUUGCAAACUCGCGAGAGUAAGCGGAUCCCAUAAAGCUUGUCGUAGUCCGGAUUGGAGUCUGCAACUCGACUCCAUGAAGUCGGAAUCGCUAGUAAUCGUGGAUCAGAAUGCCACGGUGAAUACGUUCCCGGGCCUUGUACACACCGCCCGUCACACCAUGGGAGUGGGCUGCAAAAGAAGUGGAUAGCUUAACCUUCGGGAGGGCGUUCACCACUUUGUGGUUCAUGACUGGGGUGAAGUCGUAACAAGGUAGCCGUAGGGGAACCUGCGGCUGGAUCACCUCCUU
rnacentral:rRNA from 1 species